AGCUCCCUGCCUCCAUUUCUGGGUGCUGAGGACCAGGUGUCACUGGCGUUUGCCAGGAAAAAAGGCUUUGGCCCCUCCUCCGUGCAUUUAUUAUGAUUUAUAGGUUACCAAAAAGGUAUCCCUAAAAAAUGUAGAGGUACCGGGCCUGGUGUCAGCUCCUUGCUCUGAGCUACUUAGGAGGCUGAGGCCGGAGGAUCGCUCGAGCAGAGGCGAACUUAACAGGAUUUAAAAGAUGCCAGGAAGUUGGGAGGCGAGGUAUUGUUGUCCAAACAGGAAGACCUGCACCUAAAUAACUGGCCUAAAAUCAGUCAGGUAAGUGACAGAACUGGAACUUGAAUUUAGGUUCUCUAUCUUCAAAUCCUGCUGUAGCCUCUAUACCAGCUUUGGGGGUAUAGAGGCAAUUUGGGGGGCUGUCUCAAAAAGUGGAUUGCAAUGUGUAGUCUGAAAACUAAACUUUUCAUAUUCUGAUACCAUUAAAAUCCGUUGGUCUGUCUUGCA